rnacentral:lncRNA from 1 species
AAUUAUCCAAAUGUCUGGAAGUUUUUUUAGGGCUAGUUAAUCAAGUAAAUUCUCUGCAAGUAACAUACAAGAGGAUAAAGAUAAAGAGAAUACACUUUCAAAUGUUCUUGACUUGAGUUUUGGAAAUUACUUAAUGGACUUUGACUAGACUACAUCAUGGGAAUUAUACCUACCAAUAUUGUUAUACUUACCACAUAAUUAUUAGGUCAUAAGAUAUAAAAUCAACUGUUAUAUCCUUGAAAAUUAUGUGCAGGAUUAGUAUUUUCAAGAGUAUAAUGAAAGAUAUUCUGUAUGAGAGUUGUGUUAUGUUGAAGAGUGAUUUUUUGAAAAUAAGAAAAUAGAAGGAUAUGAACAAAAUGUUAGAGAUAUUUUUUUUUAAAGUUAGUCAAGUAAAUAGUCUAUGAAUUCUUGGAAUCACCUUAGAGACUUUAACUAAAACAAAAACUAAAAUACACUAUCUUUUCUGUUUUUUUCUUCUCUUUUCUUUUUGGAUUUCGUAUUUGAGACUUGAAAAAAAAGUUUAAUUAUUUUAGUGAUGUUGACAUUUUAUUCAUUACAUUAACCCCUAAAUUGUUUUAGAAUAUAACCAUGUUUAUAUUGAUUAUUGUAAAUGUUAAAAAAAUGGUAUUACAUGUAGUAGAAAAAAAAUUGAAGUGUUAUUGUAAUCUAUUUUUGUUAUUAUUAUUGGUGGUGGUAGGUAAAUAACUGUUUGAGUUGAAGGUGUAAAAUAUAUUUCAAAGUGACAGGAUUUGGUAUAUAUUCUUGUAUUGUCUUUCAAGACUCAAAAUUUAUUUUUGCUUGUAAACUCAAACUUGACUGAAAUCAUAAUGUAAUUGUGUCUUGUUAACUAUGAUCAUACCUCAUUACAAAGAAUUGAAACAAAGAAUUGAAAUCUUAAUGUAACUGUGUCCUUGUUAGUUAUAAUCAUACCUUAUUGCUAAAGAAUAAGAGAUUGAAAACCAGAGUAAAAGGCAUGUAUACUUUGACUUAUUGAAGGUCCACUAAAAAAUGCAAUUGACUGGGCAUCAAGAGCACCAAAUGUUUGGGCUGGUAAACCUGCUGCCAUAGUGAGUGCUGGAGGAGGCUUUGGUGGGGGAAGAUCACAAUAUCAUCUUCGCCAAAUUGGAGUAUUUUUGGAUCUUCAUUUCAUCAAUAAACCUGAAUUCUUCAUCAAUGCAUUCCAGCCACCAGCAAAGUUUAACAGUGAUGGUGACCUGAUUGAUGAAGAAGCCAAGAAUAAGUUGAAGGAAGUCCUUCUGUCUUUGAAGGCAUUUACCCUUAGACUUCAAGGGAAAAAUUGAAACAACCAUCAUUCCCAAAUAUUGUUGAAAUAAGCUUUGGAUUUUGGCUCAUUCCUUUUAUGACUGCAUAACAACUGUGAUCUGCAGAGACAAGAAUGCAUUAAUGUCCUUUACACUAUAUUUUUAACCAGUGUCUUUUGACAUUUUUCUUUUAUACAUGUGAGCCAAAAAGUGUGUGAAAUUCAGAGGAAAAGAAUUUCGGAAAAAAAAGUGUAAAACAAAAGAAAAUGAGAGAACUAUAUAAGAAAUGAAGUGAAAAAAAAGGUUAUUUGAUUGAAAAUAAAUAAAGAGAGAUUAUUUUUAUUGUAAUAUUAACAUAUUUAAUUAAUUUAUUGAUAUAACCUACUCUAAUCACAUAUAUUGAAAUCAUUUGUUAGUUUUUUCAUUUUUAGAAAUGAUCUCUUCAUAUUUUUUUCUUAUUUUUGAAUUGUUUCUUCAUCUUCUUCUCUCAUUUGUAUUCUUCAUUCUUUAUCUAUGAAGAAUAUGUUCAAUUCAUGAUGAACUGACUUAUGUACUAAUCAUUUUGAAGUUUCAAGUUUGUUGUUCUUUCUAAUUUUAUAUUUAUACUUUAUAACUCACGAAAUCAAUUCUGAAUUGAAUUUUGUACUAAUAUUUUAAAGUUUCAAGUUUCUUCUUCUUUCUAAUUUUAUAUUUAUAUUUUGUGAUUGUAGUUUAUAUUUCCUUAUUUUAUAAUUAUAUACAAAUUAGAUGGAAUGAUAUUUUAAUUUGAUUAUAAUUUUUAUGAUUUCAUGAAGUUGUUCUUUUGAAUUACUUAAACCAAUCACUACAAGAAAAUUAUAAAAUAAAAACUAAUUUGUAGAAAUCAAAAUAAUUAGUUGCAAUAGUAACUAAAUUAGAGACCAUUUUAGAAACUAGAAAGAAAUUUGGUUUCUAAAUGAUUGCUAAAUAGUUUCUAAAUUGGUAUCUAAUUAGCAACCAAGGUUUUCGCUACCAAAUUUAGAAACUAAAUAAUUGGUAGUUAAAACAUUAGUUGCUAAUUAGAUACCAAUUUAGAAACUAUUUAACAAUAAUAGGAAAUAAUAGAAACUAAUUUAGAAAUCAAUUUUUUUUAGUUUAUAAAAUAGUCUCUAUUUUAGUUCCUAUUGUAACUAAUUAUUAUAAUCUCUAAAAAUUGGUUUCUAUUUCAUGAUUUCCUUGCAGGGAAUGUUGUGAAUUGGUUUUUCAUUUUUCUUAAAUUUAGUUUUCAAAUUCUGUUGUUUUUAAUUUUGUUUCAUUUUAAAGAUAAUACCAAAUUAAUUUUUAUAAAAUGAAUAUUAAAGAUUCUUUUUUAUUCAUGAUAAAGAUGCAUCAAAAUCCUUUCUAAUAAAAAAAAUCAACUAGUUUCUUUAACAUUUGUCUUUUAUAUAAGUGUGCGGAAAAAGUAUGGUCAACUUCGUACUUGAAAUAAAAACCAUCGCUAUAAUAUGAAUUAUAAAUUUGUUUUUUGUGGGAAAAAUUAUAUAAAUCUUCAAAUAAUUGAAGAUAAAAAAUUUAGCAGCUAAAGAUAUAAAUGACGACCUUUUGUGCUAUAGCAGCCUCCUCCAACCAACCCAAUACAAUUUUUUUAUAUUAAAAGUCUAAAAAAUUGAAUUCAAAGUAGUACAAAAGGUCGUCAUUAACAACGUUGACCUCAACAUAAUUGAUUUGAAUGAUUACUAUAUAUCAAUAAAGAUUCUUUACACACAAAAAGUAAUCCACUUUCCUUUAAUAACCCUUUAUUUGUUUAAAUUAAAAAUAAAAAUAAAAUAUUAAUUUAUUAAAUUGUUAAAUAAAUAUUUUCUACUGCUCUAUUAUAUAUAUAUAUAUACACACAUCAUAACAUUGACUCACACACAUCAAAAGAACAGAACAUGGCGUCGGUGAUUAAGGUGGUUGCGCUCUCAGGCUCCCUCCGGAAAGGCUCUUACAACACCGGCCUCAUUCGUUCUGGUUCCUACCAUCCCUUUCUCUUUUUCAUCACUUUAUUUGUGUUUUUAGAAUCCCAGAAGUAUGUUUGAUGGUCUUUUCUCCUCCAUUCACUGUGAAGUAUGUCUGUAAAGACACUUCAAUGUUUAAAUCAGUUUGGAUGAUGGAUAAAAUAUCUGUAAAGACACUUCAAUGUUUAAAUCAGUUUGGAUACUAAAAGUGUUUAGUAAAUUUAGAUUAGAAAAGUUAUUACUCUUUAUGAGAAUAUUACCUUAUCUAUAGCCUUCUAUUAGACUUCUUGACUUAAUGAAGUUAACUCAGACCCAAUAACUAUUAAUAUUAUGUAACUAUCCACUAAUCAUAAGUUAGUCUAAUUAAUCAACUAGACAGAUAAAUGAAAAUGGAAGUUUUGCCAUGCCAUAGGUUGAACUGUGUUGUUACUUUGGUUGGAUGUAUUUUAGGUUUUUAGUAUGGAUAGUGUUUUUGUUUGUUGGUUUUGUGGUUUUUGUUAGAUGUUGGAUAUUAUAUCUCUUGUAUAAGGGCUGAUGAACCUUCGAAGUGAUUCACAUUUAUUUAUUUGUUAUGGUUGAUAUAAAAGAAAAAAAAAACUUUGAUUUGAUGUAGCUAUUGAGCUAAGCAAAGGAGGAGGGGUUGAAGGAAUCGAAAUUGAGUACAUUGAUAUUUCAGAUUUGCCUUUUCUGAACACUGAUCUUGAGAACGAUGGAACUUUUCCCUCAGAAGUUGAAGCUUUUCGCCACAAGAUUGCUGCAGCUGAUGGCGUUCUCUUUGCUUCCCCUGAAUACAAUUAUUCUGUCUUCUCUUAUCAUCACCAGAUUUAACUCAAUAUAAUUUUUCCUUAGGUUCAAAUUGGAUUGUUUUCCGCAAUGAAUCCAUUUCAAAAAGAUUUUGCAAUAAAUUCAUUUCAAAAUAAUCUUUGUAAAUAAAUCUAUAAAAGCAUUCUUUAUCAACAGAAAUGUUCAGGUUUCUGUUCAGAUUAUAUAGUUUUUGAAAAAUCAAAUUUGCAAUAUAAAAUAAUAUCACCCAUGUUAGAAAAUCAGUUACAAUUUGGCUGUAGUGUUGAUUGAUCUUAUAUUGAUUAAAGAAAAAUAUAUUUUAUAACAUAUAAUUAACAUAUAUAACUGAGUUAAAUCUAAAGUAUAAGUUGAUUUUAUAAGAUUGAUUUUAUAAGUUAAUUUUAAAUCUAUGUAGUAUAGAUAUUGAUAUGGAUAUUGAUUUGAUACAGAUACGGAGAUACGUAUAAUAUCUAAAAUGUAAAAUAAAAUACGAAACACGAAUUUACAUAUUAUAUAAUUAUGAAUUAUAUAAAUUAAUAAUAAAAAAUUAUAUAAUAAAUUUAUGUUUUUUGAAAAUUAAUGUAUUUUUUUAUUUUUAAGAUUGUAUUAUAACUGUACUAGAAUUGUCAGAAAUCCAACAAAUAUUUUUUGAAUUUGACACUUCACCAAUACAUAUAGUACGAAUGUCGAUGUCUAAUAUGUGUGUGACACAGACAUAAUAUUUAAGAGACGCGUAAACCUCUUAGGUUACAACUUUUUCUUUAAUGUUAGGUCCAUUAAAGAAUGCAAUUGACUGGGCAUCAAGACCACCAAAUGUUUGGGCUGAUAAAGCUGGUGCCAUUGUAAGUGCUGGAGGAGGCCAUGGUGGAGCAAAAUCACAUUAUCAUCUUCGCCAAAUUGGAGUGUUUUUGGAUCUUCAUUUCAUCAACAAACCUGAAUUCUUCAUCAAUGCAUUCCAGCCACCACCAAAGUUCAACAGUGAUGGUGACUUGAUUGAUGAAGAUGCUAAGAACAGGUUGAAGGAAAUCCUUCUCUCCUUGAAGGCAUUCACCCUAAGACUUCAAGCAAAAAAUUGAACCAACUCCAAAAAAUUGUUGCAAUAAGCUAUGCAAUUUUUAACUAUAUUCCCUUCUUUUUC